GAUGAUGCAUUGGUGAUUGAAGAUGAUGAUGAUAUCUCUGAUGAUGAUGAUCACGAAGAUGUGCUGAGAGAUGAUUCUCUACGUGUUUGCAUGCCUGAAAAAGUACAUGAUGUAAAAUUGAGUGAUGCGCCUGAGGAUAGCAGUGGUGCUCCAGCAGCAAGUGAUAGCCAAACUACUCCUGCCUCUGGUUCUGGUAGUAGAGCAGCUGCUGUUAGGGGCUCAGAUUCUACUGAUUUUAGGGGUGGUAACUCUUAUGGCUCUAGGGGUGCUUUGUCAUUUGCUGCUGCUGCUAUGGCUGGUCUUGGAACUGCUAAUGGCAGAGGUAUAAGAGGAAGCAGAGAUCGACAAGGACGACCACUGUU
rnacentral:misc_RNA from 1 species